AGAGUUUCUGAUUUGUAGCCCUGAGACACAGCUUCUUGUACUCUGUGAAUCCAGACCCCACAGGUUAUGGAAGAAAAGCAACAGACAGAAGAUGGGAAAAACAGGUCACGUUUAUAAGACCAGCUUGAAGACCAUGCCACACUGAGGAGUUUGGUUUUUCGUUAGGCAAAGAAACUAGCUGUUUUUUCUUCAAUGUUCAUCGGAAAACUUGCCCAGCAGCUGUGAGUGACUCUUCAGCUUUCGAAUCAUUGUCUUGGAAUCUUCUAAACCAGGUGAUAAACUCUAAAGCAUCCAUUCUUAACCACAGAAGAGCAGCCCCUGGUAUGAAGCUGGAUCCUCUACAUCACGGCAAACACUUCAGUUUGGACAGUGCAAGGCCAGCAGUCCUGGUAAUAUGGAAACCCUGGGCACUGGAUUUGAUAAAGAACAAGAAGAGCUGUGAUAUCUGUGCCCAGCUCCUGUACUUUGGUGCCAACAAAGGUCUGAAUCCUUGCCUUUAAGAGUAUCAAAUCAGGUCUGGCACAGAGAAAGAAGUUAUUCUUCAUUUUGACAGAUUCUAAGACAGUAAUGUUAACAGAUGUGGGAAAAGUAUGUGUUGGCCCCAGAGUGGCCAGCAUAGAAAAUAAAACAGAGAAAUUUAUCACUCGAUCAGUACCAUCUAAAAGAGAAAGUAGAUCUAUGGAACAUAGGAAUAGGGUAAAAUUAUUUCAUUAGGUUUUAAAUCCAGCCCGUGGGUUAUUUCCACAAACCAUUCUGCUUUAUUGGCUCUGUUCACCGAGGAAUUUUAGUUUAUCAUUUUCCUUGAUACUAGGAAAUUGCAGACACUAAUAUGACUUAAGAAGACAGAUUAGAAAAAUCAAUGCAAUCAAAUAAGCCUCCUUCCCCUAAAUUGUCUCUGCCUCUCUUUCUCUCUCUCUGUCUCUUUCUCCCUCCCUCUCUCUCUCUCUCUCUCUCACGCGCGCACACACACACACACACACACACACACAGAGUCAAUUCUGUUUCCAGCAGAUUAGAAUACUGAGAAAUCCCCAUGACUUUCCCCAGCAACCCCUCCAUCUCCCUUUUGAUAAGGCAAGAGAGGUAAUAUUUACUGAAUGCCAAUUAUAUGCCAGAUAGGGCACAGAUUUUUUGUAAACAUAAUUUUAGUUAAUUCUCAAAUGAUUAUGAAGCAGGUAUUAUUAUUUCAACUUUAUAAGUAAAGAAACUGACUCAGAAAAGACAAGUAAUUUGCCCAAGACUGUCAGUUUCUAAAUGACAGAACUGUGAAUCAAUUCCAGCUCUCUUUGGCUCCAAUACGUGGCUCUUUCCAUUAUUCAUUCUGCCUAAAUUCCUCCAGCAGAGCUUCUUCCCUUUAGUUUUUAUCCCUGUUUUAAUGUAUUAUCCAUAUGCCUCAGGGGAAGGUAACUAAGCUCUCACCAGCUGUUAUGCUUCCUUUUAGAAGAAAGAAGAGGCAAGAAGGAGGAGUGCAGACAAGGCACAGAGGAGAAGCCUCUGAGAGGGACAAAGCAGAAGAGAGAGACUGGGGCUAUGGAACACAAUGUUUUCAAUGCAGCGUCUGGUACCAUGGCAUCUGCAGACCUCAGCCAAUCUAAUGUGAGUGGGAAAGGCCAUGUGAGAGCAGCUGGGACCUAGAGGCAGUAUGGUUUAAGAAAUAUAGGAGCAGCAUUUGAAAGCAAGGAAAUAUUUACUGAAUACUGGUGAGAAGCCAAUGGAAGAGAACAAGAAUAUCUAAGAGAAGCAGUUGUUAUUAGUUGAAAGGUUUAAGACCUACCAGACAACAGAGAAUGCACACACCCUGCGAGAGCCUCACCUUGUGACAUUUGUUCUUUACCUUUUUAUUUUGCCUUUUAGCAUGGCAUGCUGAGCACCUCUGAGUUUUCAGGGAAGGAGCUGACAGAAACAGGAACAGAAUAGCUGGGAGCUCCAAGAUUCACAUUCCUUGCAGGAGCUGGUGUGAGUUUUUGAGGCUGCUGAGUAACAGGAACCGCAGUCUUUGUUGCCUGGAUGUAUCCUGGCAACCUGUCAACAAAAGGGACGGGACUGAGUUCUCUAGUAACUGAUGGGAAACAGAGCAAAGUAGGUAUGGAUUUCAGCUUUCUUUUAAAUUGACUCCAGGAACUUUACCGAUGGACUGAGCAACCAACAGGGACAGAUAAAUUUAAGUCACAGGCUCUUCUUGAUGUAGAAACACAGCGUUUUAUUUUAAAGAAGAAAAGAAAACAAUAUUUACUGAUUAUCUUAUUGAUCUUUUCUAGGGACUUUAAAAAAUACUGUAACGGUUAAUAUUGAGUGUCAACUUGAUUGGAUUGAAGGAUGCAAAGUAUUGUUCCUGGGUGUGUCUGUGAGGGUGUUGCCAAAGGAGAUUAACAUUCCAGUCAGUGGACUGGGAAAGGCAGACCCACCCUCAAUCUGGGUGGGCACCAUCUAAUCAGCUGCCAGUGUGGCCAGAAUAAAGCAGGAAAAUGUGGAAGGACUUGACUUGCUGAGUCUUCUGGUCUUCAGCUUUCUCCCAUGCUGGAUGCUUCCUGCCUUAGAGCAUUGGACUCCAGGUCUUCAGCUUUUGGACUCUCGGACUUACACCAGUGGUUUGCCAGGGGCUCUCAGGCCUUUGGACACAGACUGAAGGCUGCACUGUCGGCUUCCCUACUUUUGAGGUUUUGGGCUUCCCUACUCCUCAGCUUGCAGAUGGCCUAUUGUGGAACUUUACCCUGUGAUCAUAACUCUUUUUGCCCAACAGAAUGUGGACAGCAGAACUGCUUUAUAAAUUGGGAGGAAGGCACACCUGGAAGAUGGUGAUGCCAGCACAAUGGGAAAUGUGCCAGUGUGUAGAAUUCUUCUCUGGUCUUUGUAAAUAGAAAUGCUCACUUUCUAUGUGAAACACCUAAAUGAUUCGAUGCCAAACGCAGAAUAAGUUUAAAGGUAGAACAAGCAAAUAGCUAAACAAGGGAGUGUUUCAGAAAGGAAAUAUGUCAAGCCUUGGCUCAAAAGCAAAACAGUCUUUUCAUGAAGGGAAGUGUUCACAGCAUCUAUUAAAUGCAUACUCAGUCACAAAAAUAAAACCCAUCUGUUUAAUAUUAACAUUUGUAAUAAACAUUUUAAAAAAAGGAAUGUAGAAGGCAAAAAUGUAUUGUAAAACAAAAUGUACACUCUUGGGAUAACUAAAACUUCCUCUGAAAGAAUUGCAGUACUCUAAAGCUUGUUCUUUAUACCAAAAGCAAUAACAAUUAGUUGCAUGACACUGCAAUAGCAGAGGCAUAUUCUGCCCUUUGAGAGGACAGGAUAUUAAUCUGAAAAUUGAGCAUACGCUCCCAUAGUAUAGAAUGCCAAACUUCCUUGGAUGCAACUUGCCAAAGCAAAAUUAUACACCUGAAGUGUGUCCUAAAAUUUAGAGACAGAAAUGAUGUAUUUUAAAAUCAUGACUUAGAUAUUUGAAAGUUUUUGGCUACAUUAGGAAGCUAAUUGUCAUGUACUUCGAUACAGAAUCAAGAUGUACUAAUUUUUAUUGGUACACUGGCAUUAAAUGAAUGUGUAGCAUAUGUUUAAAAGGAUGUAUCUGAGAAGCAAGGAUGAGGGUAAUAGAAUACUAAAGUCUAAACUGAGGGUCGCUUCAAUAUUUUAUUAGCCAUUUUAUGCAUAUGAACACAGACCAUAUUAGAUACUUAGCAAGUAGGGGAAAAAAACCUGUUUCUAUCAGGGGAAGGAUUAUCUCUAUUGAGAAACACAUGUUAAUAGGUCUGUCUAGUUCGGAAGAAGCUGCCUCUCUUGGUCAACAUUGGAUGAUGUGGAGCUGUUCUAUCCAAUAUAACAAGCACUAGCCACAUACAGCUAUUGAAAUGUACAUGGUAAAUUAAUUAAACUCUAAUGUCAUGUUUAAUUCUUUAAGUGCUUAAUAGCCAUAUACAAUUAGUGGCUACCAUACUGUGUAGUGCAGAUUACAGAGCAUUUCCAUCAUCAUAGAACGUUCUAUUGUAUAGGACCGGUCUGGGUAAAGUUUGGGAGAUAGAGAAACUACUCCAUGGGAAUCUUGGAUUUAGGGGCGAGUAAAACUUUCACAAAGUGGCAAGGAGAUCUGAACAGAGAGGCAAAAAUUGCAGUGUCGUGAGAAGCCAGAAUCUUGUCAGAAAAGAGAGACUGUUGGCUAUAGAAAUGUCUGAAGUGUUUUUUCAAAACCGAAUACCUGAGAUUAAAUGUAAACUGCUCCACCUCCUCCCACUGAUACCUUUUGUUACAAAUCUUCAGGAAACCUAGAAUGGAACAACACAGCAAGGGCUGCUGCCUGGGCAUUAGAAAUAGAACACCACACCCAAUGGCUAAAGCUGGU